rnacentral:rRNA from 1 species
UGAGGAAUAUUGGUCAAUGGGCGGCAGCCUGAACCAGCCAUCCCGCGUGAAGGAAGAAUGCGCUAUGCGUUGUAAACUUCUUUUUCAGGGGGAUAAAAUUUUGUAUGUAUACAGAACUGAAGGUACCCUGAGAAUAAGCAUCGGCUAACUCCGUGCCAGCAGCCGCGGUAAUACGGAGGAUGCGAGCGUUAUCCGGAUUUAUUGGGUUUAAAGGGUGCGUAGGCGGAAGAAUAAGUCAGUGGUGAAACCCUGCAGCUUAACUGUAGACUUGCCAUUGAUACUGUUUUUCUUGAGUAUGGUCAAGGCAGGCGGAAUGUGUAAUGUAGCGGUGAAAUGCUUAGAUAUUACACAGAACACCGAUAGCGAAGGCAGCUUGCUGGGCCGUUACUGACGCUGAUGCACGAAAGCGUGGGGA